rnacentral:ncRNA from 1 species
CGGGGCAGGAUCGGGCACUUGUGCUCGAGCCGGCAAAUUUCGGAAUGGGGAGUGGGGAGUUUGGCUGGGGCGGCACAUCUGUUAAAUGAUAACACAGGUGUCCUAAGGUGAGCUCAAUGAGAACAGAAAUCUCAUGUAGAACAAAAGGGUAAAAGCUCACUUGAUUUUGAUUUUCAGUAUGAAUACAAACCGUGAAAGCGUGGCCUAUCGAUCCUUUAGUUCUUUUGAAUUUUAAGCUAGAGGUGUCAGAAAAGUUACCACAGGGAUAACUGGCUUGUGGCAGCCAAGCGUCCAUAGCGACGUUGCUUUUUGAUUCUUCGAUGUCGGCUCUUCCUAUCAUUGCGAAGUAGAACUCGCCAAUUGUUGGAUUGUUCACCCACUAAUAGGGAACGUGAGCUGGGUUUAGACCGUCGUGAGACAGGUUAGUUUUACCCUA